ACGGGUGAGUAAUGCCUAGGAAUCUGCCUGGUAGUGGGGGACAACGUUUCGAAAGGAACGCUAAUACCGCAUACGUCCUACGGGAGAAAGCAGGGGACCUUCGGGCCUUGCGCUAUCAGAUGAGCCUAGGUCGGAUUAGCUAGUUGGUGAGGUAAUGGCUCACCAAGGCGACGAUCCGUAACUGGUCUGAGAGGAUGAUCAGUCACACUGGAACUGAGACACGGUCCAGACUCCUACGGGAGGCAGCAGUGGGGAAUAUUGGACAAUGGGCGAAAGCCUGAUCCAGCCAUGCCGCGUGUGUGAAGAAGGUCUUCGGAUUGUAAAGCACUUUAAGUUGGGAGGAAGGGUUGUAGAUUAAUACUCUGCAAUUUUGACGUUACCGACAGAAUAAGCACCGGCUAACUCUGUGCCAGCAGCCGCGGUAAUACAGAGGGUGCAAGCGUUAAUCGGAAUUACUGGGCGUAAAGCGCGCGUAGGUGGUUCGUUAAGUUGGAUGUGAAAUCCCCGGGCUCAACCUGGGAACUGCAUUCAAAACUGUCGAGCUAGAGUAUGGUAGAGGGUGGUGGAAUUUCCUGUGUAGCGGU
rnacentral:rRNA from 2 species